AACGAACGCUGGCGGCAUGCCUAACACAUGCAAGUCGAACGAGACCUUCGGGUCUAGUGGCGCACGGGUGCGCAACGCGUGGGAACCUGCCCUUAGGUUCGGAAUAACUCCCCGAAAGGGGUGCUAAUACCGGAUAAUGUCUUCGGACCAAAGAUUUAUCGCCUUUGGAUGGGCCCGCGUUGGAUUAGCUAGUUGGUAGGGUAAAAGCCUACCAAGGCGACGAUCCAUAGCUGGUCUGAGAGGAUGAUCAGCCACACUGGGACUGAGACACGGCCCAGACUGGAGUGGGGUGCGGGUGUGGAGAGUGUAGGAGAAGGGGCUAAGGCCGGUGCCGGGAGCUGGAGGGGGGGGGGGAGGGCCGUAGUGUAGUAAACUGCUUUGACGAGGAAAGAGAAUGACAGGACAGGGAGAAUCAGCGCCGGCGAACCCAGGGGCAGAAGACGGGGCGAGGACGAAAGACAGCCGACCGAAC
rnacentral:rRNA from 1 species